rnacentral:lncRNA from 13 species
UGAUGCAUAAAAAUUAAUCUUUUCCCUCCGCUUUCAUCCCCAAGCUCCUUAGCGAAGAUUCCAUCGUGUUCUGUAACACAUGAUGAAGCAUUUUCCGCGUUAUAAUGUGACAAUGGCCCUACUGAGCACAACAAUUUGAGUCUGAAUGUGCCAGAGUCAGAGGAGAAAUCUGAAGAGCACCUUUGUUUUUUGGAGACAGAGUUUUGCUCUGUUGCCCAGGCUGGAGUACAGUGGCAUGAUAUCAGAUCACUGCAAGCCCUACCUCCCAGAUUCAAGUGAGUCUCCUACCUCAGCCUCCUGAGUACCUGGGUUUACAGGUGCACGCCACCACACCCAGUUAAGUUUUGUAUUUUUAGUAGAGAUGAGGUUUCACCAUAUUGUUCAGGCUGGUCUCAAACCCCUGACCUUGUGAUCUGCCUGCUUCAGCCUCCCAAAGUGCUGGGAUUACAGGCGUAAGCCAGCACACCUGUCUGCAGUAUCCUUGCCUUACAGAGAAGUGCUGGGACUAGGUGAGGUUAAACAGCAUGCUGAACACCAUGGCAUUUGUGAGGGCAGGCACUCACGGCCUAGGCAGCAUCUGAAAUGAACGCUGUGCCCUCUCCAGGACUUGCUGGGGUGGGAGUGAGGAGAAUGCAUGGCCAUAUAGUGAACUGUGGACACCUCACCGCACCAGAGAACUAAAUUUAUAGGCACAUGCUGAUGUGUGGGCUGACUCAUAUACCCUUUUCCCCAAAUACUGACAUAUUAUUUGAAUUUUUAUAAUAAUAUUGAGAAGUGCUGACUUUUUUAUCUGUUUGUUUGAGGUGACAGCCAUUGAACAAUCUCCUAGGAUUGGAAUCUCAGAUGCCUACAAGGGCCAUGCUUUUCUCAAGACUUGAGGAAGAGGCGGGGACCACUGCCGCCCACAAAUGCCCUUCUAGAAGGACCCAGCUGUAGGAGUGGUAGCUCCUGGCACUACGGGCAGUUGCAAGCCUGGUGUAUACAGCUUUGGAUUUUUUUCCAAAGGAUUCCAGAAACAAGGAUUUUUAUGCAAACUCUCCCAAUUUAAAAACAUGACAGCUAUUCAAUUUUCUUUUCAAUCGUAUGAGCCAAAUAAAGUAUGUCCAUGAG